UAUACGGGGCGCAGCAGGCGCGAAACCUCUGCAAUAGGCGAAAGCCUGACAGGGUUACUCUGAGUGAUUUCCGCUAAGGGGAUCUUUUGGCACCUCUAAAAAUGGUGCAGAAUAAGGGGUGGGCAAGUCUGGUGUCAGCCGCCGCGGUAAUACCAGCACCCCGAGUGGUCGGGACGAUUAUUGGGCCUAAAGCAUCCGUAGCCGGUUCUGCAAGUCUUCCGUUAAAUCCAGCCGCUCAACGGAUGGGCYGCGGAGGAUACUACAGGACUAGGAGGCGGGAGAGGCAAGCGGUACUCAGUGGGUAGGGGUAAAAUCCUUUGAUCCAUUGAAGACCACCAGUGGCGAAGGCGGCUUGCCAGAACGCGCUCGACGGUGAGGGAUGAAAGCUGGGGGAGCAAACCGGAUUAGAUACCCGGGUAGUCCCAGCUGUAAACGAUGCAGACUCGGUGAUGGGCUAGCCUUGNGCCAUCCCAGUGCCGCAGGGAAGCC
rnacentral:rRNA from 1 species